UCUUUGGUGUCGGUAAACACCAUCUUUCGGUGAUUUCCAGUCAUGCGUAAGUGUCUGGUUUUCCUUUGAUGUCUGUAAACAUCAUCUUUCGAUGUUCGUAACAUCGUUAUCCCUUCCCUAGUGAAGGUUUCUCCUCUCCGUUGGUGUCGAUAAACGUCGAGUUUUUCCUAUUCAUCCGAUGAUGUCUAGUUGUCCCUUCCCUAGUGAAG
rnacentral:lncRNA from 1 species